GUCUUCGUGGUGUAAUGGUUAGCACACUGAGCCGGUAUUUCAGAGGUCCGUGGUUCGAUCCCCGGCGAAGGCA
rnacentral:tRNA from 1 species